rnacentral:lncRNA from 1 species
AUGGGAUCAAUGGGGCUGAGGGAUCAGAGAUCAGUGUGGCCACGGGAUAAGUGUGGCUAUGGGAUCAGUGUGGCAAUGGGAUCAGCGUGGCCACAGGAUCAGUGGGGCUGUGGGAUCAGCUUGGCCAUGGGAUCAGUGUGGCCAUGGGAUCAGCGUGGCUGUGGGCUCAGUGUGGCCACAGGAUCACUGUGGCCAUGGGCUCAGGUGUGGCUGUGGGCUCGGUGUGGCCAUGGGAUCACUGUUCCCAUGGGAUCACUGUUCCCAUGGGAUCACUGUUCCCACGGGACCACCGUGCUCAUGGGAUCACCGUGGCCACGGGAUCUCUGUGGGAUUCCCAUCUGCGAUGCUGAGGGAUCCCGCCUGCUGCAUUCCUGCUUUUUCUGGGAUCAAUNUUCCCCAGCUCCGCUCCCUCCGUGCGGGGGUCCGGCGGCUCCGACCGCGCCAGAUGUUUUUG